AUUAUCUUUAUUCAAGUUUCUCCUGAUACAGGACCGCAUCAAUUUGUUGCUUCUCUCCACAUAUUGUAUUUCUUUUAUCCUCAUUGUGGUGCUGAGAAUUUUGAAAUAUUGAUUUUGAAGAAUAGUUGCGCCUGUUUGAAUAAUAGAAAAGGGAAAGAAUUGCACUUUCUGGGGCAUAGUUAUUGAGAAAACACACAGUAACUGUCAGCUUAUGUGCUCAAUCUUUAAUUGUUGUGGUGCUGAGUUUCUUUCAUUUGCAGAGAGUGAGCAUACUCAAUGGUACUUGUAGUUCUUUGGCUUAUUUUUUCUCUAGCUUCAUAAUUAUUACUUAAUGCAUCAUGUCUUUUGGGAAGACAACGUGCUUUUCCCACAAAGUUCUUGUUCAGUUCCUUGUGCAGGGUAUGAAAUCUCUUGUUUUAACCUGGCCUGUGUUCAUGCUCGCUCUCUCUCUCUCUCUCUCUCUCUCUCUCUCUCUCUCUCACACACACACACACACACAUUUUUUCAGUUUUGUUGGCUCCAUGAAGGGGGGUGGACUAGGUUUAAAGUUGUGCGAGGAUGCCAAAUUGGCAAAGGGGGAGCAUAUGAACACUAUCUUAUGAAAAUUGGUACUUAAGAGCAAAAUAUUGUCCCUGGUAUGAGACAGAAUGCAGAAAUUAUGGGUGGCGUACAGUCAUUUGGUGCACCUGCAGUAAGUGUGAAGCCUAGUUGCAUGGGAUACCAGAAAGUGUUGCACUUGUUCUAUGAUAUCAAUUUUUUUAGGAUAGUUAUUGUGGAUGAGUGGUACUGGAAUGCUUAAUGCUUUGUUUGGUUUGUGAUUUGAGUAGUGUUUUUGGAUAAUGAGUGGAGAGAGAAAUGAUUGGAGAGAAAGGUAAAGAGUGGAGAGAGAAAAUGAGAGUAAUGAUUGAAAAGUUAGAGAGAGAAAUGAGAGUAAUGAUUGAAUUGAGAAAUAUUUUUUGAGUCGAGUCGUGAAAUGAACAAGGCAUUAAUAAUGGGAGACAUCCCGUGUAGUACAUCUUGAAGUUAAUUUUGAUGUAUUACUUGAAUUGAAGUGAUUUGAGUUUGAUACCACACUUGAUUGAAGCUUUUAGAGUUUAGAGUUUGCGAAGUCAAAAUUUUUCUUUUACUAUGGUCGCAAAGCAAUUUUGUGUGACCAAGGGGACAUUUUUAGAUGCCCUUCUUAUUAUAUGCACUUCAUUUUUGUUGUUUUAUGGCCUUUUAGAAUCAAUAAGGAAAUUGGAAAUUGAUAGCCUAACGCUAGGGCUGCGGAAUGUUGCACCUUAGGGAAGGAACAAGAAGAGGAUGCCCACGAGUAAGCCACAAAAGAAUUAUAUGUUCUACUAACCCUGAAUCACAUCUUGAUUGUCUUAAAAAUUCCUAGGAUG